rnacentral:rRNA from 1 species
CCUACGGGUGGCAGCAGUAGGGAAUUUUGCGCAAUGGGGGAAACCCUGACGCAGCAACGCCGCGUGAUCGAUGAAGCACUUCGGGGUGUAAAGCUCUAUCAGCAGGGAAGAAAAUGACGGUACCUGAGUAAGAAGCCCCGGCUAACUACGUGCCAGCAGCCGCGGGAAUACGUAGGGGGCAAGCGGUAUCCGGAUUUACUGGGUGAAAAGGGAGCGUAGACGGCAGUGCAAGUCUGGAGUGAAAGGCGGGGGCGCAACCCCCGGACUGCUCUGGAAACUGUACGGCUGGAGUGCAGGAGAGGUAAGUGGAAUUCCUAGUGUAGCGGUGAAAUGCGUAGAUAUUAGGAGGAACACCAGUGGCGAAGGCGGCUUACUGGACUGUAACUGACGUUGAGGCUCGAAAGCGUGGGGAGCAAACAGGAUUAGAUACCCUAGUAGUC